rnacentral:rRNA from 1 species
AGUCACUGACAUUAGAUACCCCCGUAGUCCAGGGUGUAAACGCUGCAGACUUGGUGUUGGGGGCCCUUUGGGGGCAUUCAGUGCCGGAGAGAAGUUGUUAAGUCUGCUACUUGGGGAGUACGUCCGCAAGGAUGAAACUUAAAGGAAUUGGCGGGGGAGCACCGCAACGGGAGGAGCGUGCGGUUUGAUUGGAUUCAACACCGUAAAACUCACCAGGGAAGACUGUUACAUGAAGGCCGAGAUGAAGACUCUGCUAGAUUUUCAG